rnacentral:sRNA from 1 species
CAGUGAAAGCGAACCUGCUCCAGCAUGCACUCAGUGCCGCUCGUCUUGCCUCUGGCAUGACCUCGCGUGCGCGUCGACCGGAAUCCCACAUUUUGGCUGGGUAACCGGAGCGUCGUUGUGCUCG